UUCACAAUCUAAACACAAUUGUUCUCUUCACCUCCCAGCUUUGACUCUAUAGAUUUGAUUCACCUCAUCUCUAAUCACAAUAGACGCCUCACUAAUAAUAACUGAAGAAGAUCCGAUCAAUUAAUUUAGGGUGAGAGCAUUUACGUGACCAGCGACCUUAUCAAAAUCUGGGAGACUGGGACGUUGGUAGAGGGCUUAGGCUGCCACGACGAUGCUUGACAACUCAUCCUCCUAAUUCCGUCUCUGCUUGCUUUCUCCGACAACUACUAAUCACUGAAUCAACAGCCGGUGUAUCAGCGAGUUCGCCAUUCUUUGUCUCACUGAUCUCGGAUGUGGUCCUCUCAGAGAUUUUUAACCCCAAAUCGACCUCAAACGUUGACAGACAUCCAUGGCGAGCACCAAAUUCCAGCCAAUCAUAUCUACGUUUCCUUGGAUCUUCUAUGUUUCAUCUAUAUGUUGAUCCAGAUGGGCUAUUUGUGCAUAAAGAGAUGAGGAUUGAAGAACUACUUAAUGUGAGUCAUGAAGGAACUGAUUUUUCUAUUACAAGGUGACAUGCUCUAUAUCAGGCUUUCAAUCUCAAUCAAGUUUCA